UACAGGGGGGUGCAAGCGUUGCUCGGAAUUACUGGGCGUAAAGCGCGCGUAGGCGGCUUUGCAAGUCGGGUGUGAAAUCCCCAGGCUUAACCUGGGAACGGCAUUCGAGACUGCAUUGCUAGAGUAUGGGAGAGGGAAGUGGAAUUUCCGGUGUAGCGGUGAAAUGCGUAGAUAUCGGAAGGAACAUCAGUGGCGAAAGCGACUUCCUGGACCAAUACUGACGCUCAUGUGCGAAAGCGUGGGGAGCAAACAGG
rnacentral:rRNA from 1 species